rnacentral:rRNA from 1 species
AUUAAACGCUGGCGGCAUGCCUUACACAUGCAAGUCGAACGGCAGCACGGGGGCAACCCUGGUGGCGAGUGGCGGACGGGUGAGUAAAGCAUCGGAACGUAUCCUGGAGUGGGGGAUAACGUAGCGAAAGUUACGCUAAUACCGCAUAUUCUGUGAGCAGGAAAGCAGGGGAUCGCAAGACCUUGCGCUCUGGGAGCGGCCGAUGUCGGAUUAGCUAGUUGGUGGGGUAAAGGCCUACCAAGGCGACGAUCCGUAGCGGGUCUGAGAGGAUGAUCCGCCACACUGGGACUGAGACACGGCCCAGACUCCUACGGGAGGCAGCAGUGGGGAAUUUUGGACAAUGGGCGCAAGCCUGAUCCAGCCAUGCCGCGUGAGUGAAGAAGGCCUUCGGGUUGUAAAGCUCUUUCGGCCGGGAAGAAAUCGCAUGGGUCAAUACCCCGUGUGGAUGACGGUACCGGAAUAAGAAGCACCGGCUAACUACGUG